GGGGAAUCUUCCGCAAUGGGCGAAAGCCUGACGGAGCAAGACCGCGUGAGGGAGGAAGGCUCUUGGGUUGUAAACCUCUUUUCUCAAGGAAGAAGAAAGUGACGGUACUUGAGGAAUCAGCAUCGGCUAACUCCGUGCCAGCAGCCGCGGUAAUACGGAGGAUGCAAGCGUUAUCCGGAAUGAUUGGGCGUAAAGCGUCCGCAGGUGGCAGUGCAAGUCUGCUGUUAAAGACUCCAGCUUAACUGGAGGAAGGCGGUGGAAACUGAACAGCUAGAGUGCGGUAGGGGCAGAGGGAAUUCCCGGUGUAGCGGUGAAAUGCGUAGAGAUCGGGAAGAACACCGGUGGCGAAAGCGCUCUGCUGGACCGUACUGACACU
rnacentral:rRNA from 1 species